AUGUAUCGUUUGAAUAUAACUCAGUGCACACAUGUCUCCAGUCGCAGAAUCAUCGUCGCCUCUCGAGCUUCUCUGAAAUGUAAUGAGUUUUAAAUACUUUGAAUUGAAUAAUUAUAUUAUUCGCGCUCUUAGUUACGUAUUCGAACGAGGCAGACUCGAGGAAAUAUUUGAGACGUCAAAUAAAAUUUAUUAAUUGAGUGCGUACAUAUAAAUUGAUCACAAACUUACACUUGUAUCUCUAACUUGUGAUAAAUAAAUACUAACAUGAGGUUGCCAGGUGACAAAUAACAAACGUUUGCUUGCCAAUAUUUGUAAGACACUUGUUUUGACAGAAAUGUUAGACUGAUAACAAGGAGCGACAGUAACGAGGAAAACAUGCUUAUUAAGGAGUACAGGAUACCACUUCCUCUUACUGUUGAGGAAUACCGAAUCGCUCAGCUUUAUAUGAUAGCAAAAAAAUCACGCGAAGAAAGCAAGGGCGUUGGUAGCGGAGUCGAGAUAAAAGUUAAUGAACCCUACAAAGAUGGACCCGGAGGAAACGGACAGUAUACUCAUAAAAUUUAUCAUGUAGGAAGUCAUUUACCUGGUUGGUUUAAGAGUUUAUUACCUAAAACAGCGUUACAGACCCAGGAGGAAGCUUGGAAUGCUUAUCCUUACACAAAAACACGUUACACGUGUCCAUUUGUUGAAAAAUUUUCCGUUGAAAUAGAAACGUAUUAUUUUCCUGACAACGGACAUCAAGAAAAUGUAUUUAAAUUGUCUGGUAGUGAUUUACGUAAUAGAAUUGUCGAUGUUAUUGAUGUGGUUAAGGAUCAGCUUGUUGGUACGGAUUACGUUAAAGAGGAAGACCCAACGUUGUAUGUGUCGGAGAAAACCGGACGUGGACCGCUCACUGAGACGUGGCUUGAAGAUUAUUGGGCAGAAGUUAAAGGAAAAUCACAACCUACGGCAUCGGGGAAGUCACUGAUGUGCGCUUACAAACUUUGUAAGGUCGAGUUCCGUUACUGGGGCAUGCAGACCAAACUGGAGAAAUUUAUUCACGAUGUGGCAUUACGGAAAACUAUGGUACGAGCGCAUCGUCAAGCGUGGGCAUGGCAGGAUGAAUGGAUAGGACUGACAAUGGAGGACAUAAGAGAAAUAGAAAGAGAAACACAAUUGGCAUUACAGCGAAAAAUGGCAGCCGCUGAAGCCGCUGAACGUGGGGAGACUAUCGAUGGCUACGAGGAUGACCACAAUGAUAAUAAUGGAGCGGUAUCGACUCCUCAGGAUCCAACAGACGUUGCUAAAACACUGGCCGCGACUUUGGGUAGCAUUGAGAAAAAUGAAGACCCUCAAAGCCCCCCGUCCAUUCGAAAACCUUCAGACAUUCCUGUCAUCAAUACCGCUCGUAGUUCUGAAGGUGACAUAAGUCCCGAGGACUCUCCUACUGCCGUCUUAGCGCCCAGUUUGAAGAUCGAAGAUAAAGCGGAAAGUAAAACAGUUUGGAAGCACAGCAGUCAUUCAAUGCACUCGCCCAGUUCCGCGAAGAGCUUCGACAUCCAAAUUGCUAAUUGGCGCAUGGAGAGCAUCGUCCGUGAAUCUGAAUCGGGAAGCGAGGAUGAAUUUUUUGAUUGCCAAGAAGACUUUGGUGACAAUACAUCUCUGGCCAAGUGGAGCUCGCUGGACCUCUUAAAUGACAAAGAAGACUCGCUUUUACCCACGGUACCAACAUCCUCAGCUGGAGUGUCUUCUAGCAAACGAAACGACAGUAUAUUUUCUCACUCGUAUCUCCAGCGGGUCGCGAGUGAACGAAGCGGCAAAAGAAUUCACAUACGACCGUCAGCAAGCAUAGAUCUGUCAUGUCCAGCGUCACCGCAACACUCGCCGACUCAUCAGCCCUGUCGUACAACUGUUCUGCUGAUAGUCAUGCACGCUGGCAGUGUCCUCGACGCCAAUGUUGAUUUAUCCGCUAAAAAAUCUGACAUCACGACAUUCCGCGGUGCCUUUGAAUCUGUUAUGCGUCAGCAUUAUCCCAGUGUCGUUGGACAUAUCGCCAUAAGAUUUGUCUCAUGUCCAUCAAUAUGCACUGAAGGUCUUGGUAUUUUAUCCAGUUUAAGUCCUUACAGCUUUGAUGUAUCGCCGUCUUGUGUUGACUCUCCCCAAGUUACCAAUGACACCAUUCCCAUAGGAUCAAUUCCUCUGUUAGCUUGCUCAUCAUCCGACUAUCAAGACGCUGUGUCGAAAAUAAUAACCGGCGCAAACCAAGUAUUUGCCGAAUUUAUUAAGUCUGAAGAAGGCCGCGGUUUCGCGGGUCAAAUAUCUUUCAUAGGUGACUCUGUUGGUUCGAUAUUAACUUACGACGCGCUAUGCCGCUCUGUACAGUAUCAAUCCCGUCACGAUAGUGAAAAUAGUAUAUUAGAAAACGACAAUCAAAAUGCUGGUGAUAAUAGCCUCGGGAGUUGUGAAGACGGUAAACAUUUAACCGCACCUUUACCAAGAAGACGUUCCUCAUCAACGAGUGACUCGUCACAAUGUAAACUUGAGUUUGACGUAAGCGAAUUCUUUAUGUUCGGUAGUCCACUGGCGCUAGUACUUGCCUAUCGUAAAAUAUCCUCGAGCAAUGACAAAAGUACUGUGAUACCAAGACCACUUGUCAAUCAAGUCUACAAUCUAUUUCAUCCAACUGAUCCAGUUGCCGCUCGCUUGGAGCCUCUUAUUUCCGCGCGAUUCUCCCAGUUGCCUCCGGUCAACGUCGCACGCUAUCAAAAAUAUCCACUAGGCAACGGACAACCUUAUCAUUUACUCGAAGCCAUUCAAACAAACCCACAAUUGUUUACUGAUGGAUUGAAUGCUCCAAACACUCCACUCCACCAUUUACGAAGAAUGUCUGAUAUAUCGAUCCAAAGCACUAUGUCAGGUCUUAUUGAUAAUGUACCUUUGCAAGCAGUUUCUUCAUUAACACACAAGUGGUGGGGAAAUAAAAGAAUAGAUUACGCACUCUACUGCCCAGAAGGUCUUGCAAACUUUCCAACAAACGCAUUACCACAUUUAUUCCACGCAAGUUACUGGGAGUCAUCAGACGUCAUUGCCUUCAUAUUAAGACAAAUCGGUAGAUUUGACUUGCCGAUGCUCGGUGGCGAAGAAAAAGAUUUAGCUUGUUUCCGUCCAGGUCAACCGAGAGAAAAGUGGAAUAAAAAACGAACCUCUGUUAAACUUAAGAAUGUCGCCGCGAAUCAUCGAGCAAAUGACGUAAUUGUACGCGAAGGCGCACCGCAAAUAUUGAUCGCGCGAUUUAUGUACAGUCCCAUAGAUGUUAUCGCAUUGACUGGUGAAAAAGUUGACAUCCAUGUGAUGAAAGAUGCACCCGCUGGAGAAUGGACAUAUCUAUCAACAGAAGUAACAGAUAAAAAUGGUCGAAUCACUUACAGAAUUCCUGAUGACAAAGCAUUGUCUUAUGGUCUCUAUCCUAUUAAAAUGGUUGUGAGAGGCGAUCAUACAUCUGUUGAUUUUUUUAUGGCGGUAAUACCCCCGAAUACUGAGUGUGUGGUAUUUAGUAUCGACGGAUCAUUUACUGCAAGUAUGAGCGUGACGGGAAGAGAUCCCAAAGUCCGUGCUGGUGCUGUUGAUGUUGUCAGACACUGGCAAGAGCUCGGGUAUCUCAUAAUCUACAUAACAGCGCGACCAGAUAUGCAGCAACAGAAAGUUGUGUCCUGGUUAUCGCAGCACAACUUCCCACACGGUCUAGUCUCAUUUGCGGACGGUCUCUCCCGAGAUCCUCUGGGUCACAAAGCCGCGUACUUGAACAAUCUGAUACAAGAGCACGGAGUAAUAAUUCACCAGGCGUACGGUAGCAGUAAAGACAUUGCCGUUUACACGGCAGUAAAUCUUAAACCGCGUCAGAUAGUAAUAGUCGGUAAAGUGUCCAAGAAACAUCAGUCACUGGCGACUGUUUUAAGUGAAGGGUAUGCAGCUCAUUUAACUCAACUACAGGCUUACGGAGGAUCAAGACCUGCUCAGGGUAACGCGAGAAUGGUGAUCCCACGCGGGCAAUUUGGUCUCCCGGGUUUAAACUCCUCUUUGCGGCGAAGAAGUAAAACGCGUGCGAAUACGAGCCACGGCUCUAUUUUUCCAGUAAGGAGACAACGGUCAGCUCACCAGCUCGCAACAACGUGUACUUAAAGCGGAAAGUCUACCUUACCCACAACUAACACACGUCUAAUUAUAUCUACCUACAAUUUACUCACUUACAUUGGUAAUUAUCUCUCACCUCUCUGUCUCUCUCUCUUUCUCUGUCUCUAUUUCUCUCUCUUUUCUUUUUAUCUUUCUCUUACUCGUACCCCAUCUCUCUCUAGCUCAAUUAUAAACCCAGUGAUCUUGAUCUUAAUUAAUAAUAAUAAUCUGAUGAAUAAAAUAAAAGUUUUCCCAAGCACUCGUCGUCCUAAUCACCAUCUGUCAACUACUUAUCACUCCGACACACCAAAUGAGUCUUAAACCCUCGCUAAUUGCCCGAUAAAUGUCUUUCUAGAGCUGGCACCCGCACUUUGGCAGUCUGGUAGACUUAAACCGAGAAUAAAAAUUUUAAAUAAUAAAUAUAUAUGUACAUAUAUAUUUAUUUAUUAAAUUAAAUAAACCGGUGAAAGUAAUCCUGAGGUGUCCUGUGCCCAAUUCCUGCGGCCUUUUCUACCACAUCUUCACUAGCUCUAGCAAGAUUACGACCACGAGCUUACCCUCUAGAUAUUUUAUUUUAAAUAUCGGCUGACUGAUAGGAAUAAGGUUUAAAAAAUUAUUGGGUUACAGGUACCUGCUCUGAAGAUUUGUUGCAAUGUCGCGAGUCGAUGUUAAUAAUCGCUCACGACAAGAGCGACAACCUACAUCACAUUCCACAAUCAGAAUUAUUAUUUUAUCGACAGCAAUGAUAAUAUCCAGAAUUUAUGCACGAAUACGACUGAGAGCUAGUCGUUGGUGUGGAAAUAAUAAUUCCCAUUCGUUUGAUUCCUGAUGAUCAUGAUGGUGAUGAUGAUGAUGAUGAUGAUGAUGAUGAUGAUGAUGAUGAUGAUGAUGACAAUAUUUAUGAGAUGAUGAUGUGUUCCAACAAAUAAUGAGGCGAUUGGUCGCGAUGAUUUUGCGAGCAAGUUCUUUUAGGACAGCGAAACGUACCAUAUCAUCACCAAUGAUUCCAAACAAAUCAGAACAACUGGAACGGAGUACAAGUGUCGGU